GACGAACGCUGGCGGCGUGCUUAACACAUGCAAGUCGAACGGAAAGGCCCUGCUUUUGUGGGGUGCUCGGGGGGCGAACGGGGGAGUAACACGUGAGUAACCUGCCCCUGACUUUGGGAUAACUUCAGGAAACUGGGGCUAAUACCGGCUAGGAGCUCCUGCUGCAUGGUGGGGGUUGGAUAGUUUCGGCGGUUGGGGAUGGACUAGCGGCCUAUCAGCUUGUUGGUGUGGUAGUGGAUUAGCAAGGCUUGGACGGGUAGCCGGCCUGGGAGGGGGAGCGGCUCAGUCGGGCUGGGAAUACGGCACAGACUCGACCGGUAGGCAGCAGUGCGGAAGAUUGUACUAGGGGCGGAAGCAUGAUGUAGCAACGCAGCGUGCGGGAUGAGGUCAUUCGGGUUGUAUUCCGCAUCCGCCUGUGACGAAGCGUGAGUGACGGUAACGGGUGAAGAAGCACCGGCUAACUACGUG
rnacentral:rRNA from 1 species